AUUGAACGCUGGCGGCAGGCCUAACACAUGCAAGUCGAGCGGAUGAAGGGAGCUUGCUCCUGGAUUCAGCGGCGGACGGAUGAGUAAUGCCUAGGAAUCUGCCUGGUAGUGGGGGAUAACGUCCGGAAACGGGCGCUAAUACCGCAUACGUCCUGAGGGAGAAAGUGGGGGAUCUUCGGACCUCACGCUAUCAGAUGAGCCUAGGUCGGAUUAGCUAGUUGGUGGGGUAAAGGCCUACCAAGGCGACGAUCCGUAACUGGUCUGAGAGGAUGAUCAGUCACACUGGAACUGAGACACGGUCCAGACUCCUACGGGAGGCAGCAGUGGGGAAUAUUGGACAAUGGGCGAAAGCCUGAUCCAGCCAUGCCGCGUGUGUGAAGAAGGUCUUCGGAUUGUAAAGCACUUUAAGUUGGGAGGAAGGGCAGUAAGUUAAUACCUUGCUGUUUUGACGUUACCAACGGAAUAAGCACCGGCUAACUUCGUG
rnacentral:rRNA from 1 species